rnacentral:rRNA from 1 species
GACGAACGCUGGCGGCGUGCCUAAUACAUGCGAGUUGAGCGCUGAAGGUUGGUACUUGUACCGACUGGAUGAGCAGCGAACGGGUGAGUAACGCGUGGGGAAUCUGCCUUCGAGCGGGGGACAACAUUUGGAAACGAAUGCUAAUACCGCAUAAAAACUUUAAACACAAGUUUUAAGUUUGAAAGAUGCAAUUGCAUCACUCAAAGAUGAUCCCGCGUUGUAUUAGCUAGUUGGUGAGGUAAAGGCUCACCAAGGCGAUGAUACAUAGCCGACCUGAGAGGGUGAUCGGCCACAUUGGGACUGAGACACGGCCCAAACUCCUACGGGAGGCAGCAGUAGGGAAUCUUCGGCAAUGGACGAAAGUCUGACCGAGCAACGCCGCGUGAGUGAAGAAGGUUUUCGGAUCGUAAAACUCUGUUGGUAGAGAAGAACGUUGGUGAGAGUGGAAAGCUCAUCAAGUGACGGUAACUACCCAGAAAGGGACGGCUAACUACGUG